AGCAUGAGACUUACUCCUUGCAGAUGAGCACAGUGUUGCUGCGACACAAGUAUCCAGUAUACCUGGCCCCCGCCAAGUACGCCAUCAGCUUCAGGUCGUCACGGUCAGCGUCCACGAAGCCCGUCACCGAUAUGAUCUGUCAAGAAGCAGGUGUGUGCAGCGGCUGGUCAGGGAGGAGUCAACAGCACCCCCACACGCCUGGAUCACCUGCACACAGGAGAUGAGCAUGAUUCCUCCUCUUCUUCCUGUCAGAUGAGCAUGAUCCCGCCUCUUCUUCCUUUCAGAUGAGUAUGGUUUCUCCUCUUCUUCCUUUCAGAUGAGCAUGAUUCCUCUUCUUCUUCCU